AACCACAUAUUUCGCGUUCGGCUCGAAAGUCGAAACGCACGCCGCCCUCACUCGCGCCUCUCUCUUCAAACCCCAACCCAAACCAUCCUCGACCGCCUCCUCCGCCGCACCGCUUCCCUCUCCCUCCCACCGCCACCGACCGGUGUCUUCAGCUCGAGGGUUUCUCCCUUCCCCCCUCCUCUCCGAUCACCCUCUCAACCCCUCCGAGUCCGAGGAGAGCCUGGUGGAGUCCCGCGACCCGGCUCCCCUCCGCCCUGCUCCCCAGCCGGCCCAUCCCCUCCGCCUCCGCCGACCCACUCGCUUCGCUCGGGGGCACGAACGACCACGGCGACGAUUUCGAGUCGCACAGGAGUUGGUGGGUGGUUCUGGACUGAGCUACAAGGUGGAGCUGUUGAAUUCAGUAUGCAUUGAGCAGGAUCAUUUGCAAGG